UGCGUAGGCGGUUUUCUAAGUUUGGUGUGAAAUCUCCCGGCUUAACUGGGAGGGUGCGCCGAAAACUGGAAGGCUUGAGUAUGGGAGAGGUAAGCGGAAUUCCUGGUGUAGCGGUGAAAUGCGUAGAUAUCAGGAGGAACACCUGCGGUGUAGACGGCUCACUGGACCAUAACUGACGCUGAGGCACGAAAGCGUGGGUAGCAAACA
rnacentral:rRNA from 1 species